CUCGCUCAAGUCUCAGUCGUCCGCUGCGCCGAGCCACUCCACUACCUGUCGGUAUAAAUAUUAAAAUCAGAUUUCUAUGUAUUCCUUCUUCUCUUUUUUUGCAUUGAAGAAUUUCUCAGAUAGUGGAUUGAAUAGGGUUGUUUUAUUGAAAUUUGCCUUUUUUAUUGGUGGUAAUUAAGAUGGAGUUUCAAUUCUGGGUACUGUGCUGGGGCCUGGUUAGAAUGUCAUUGUCUACAACUGCAAUGUCCCACAAAUAAAAUAUAGAGUUGAAAGUGUAACAAAGUUAUUGAAAGGUGAAGCCAUUGGUGGUUGGGAAUGGAGAAUGUUUGUCAUUUAUUUUCAGUGCUAAUUUGUGUGGUGUGUAUGUGAAGAUUGAGAUUUAUGUGUUUAAAUGGAGGGAAAAUGAGUAAUUUUAAUGGGUUUUCAAGAUUGUUUUGGUGAAUUAAUUUGGAUUGGUAAUGAAUAAUGAUGGUUUGGUAGAUUAGUGGAUUGCUUAAGAGAAGACUACAGGCUACUCAACCAAGUUCUUAAGAAUUCACAUUCAAUUGUUUAUCCAAUCUUCACAUACACACCACAUGAAUUAGCAUUGGGAAAAAAAUGACAGACAUUCUCCAUUCCCCACCACCUAUGGCUUCACCUUUCAAUGCUAAAGUUAUCUAUCUUUUCCCAUUUAAGUCUCUAUGCAAAAGUGCUUUCUUUAUGGAAACUAUUUAAACAAUCAUUAGUUAUGUGAAAUGCCUAAAUCACAUUUAAAUUUCUCAAAGUUCCUGCCUCUCCUCCCGUAAUAAUAACUAAUGCACCCACAUUGGGUGCCUAUGACAACUUGUGUACCUAAUAAACUUGUUAUAAGAUAACUUGAUAAAAUUGGAUUUUAACUAGAAUUUAUUGCCAAAAAUAAGCCAAAUGUCAGAUUCCAUUGUGGAGGUGUUAUGAAUGCAAAAUUUAUAUCUGUAUUUAGGCAGUGAAUGGUACCGGUUAACAGUAAUCUUUAGGAAAGCAGGCUUGUUUCGGUUGUGGGGCAAAGCUAUUUAUUGUGC
rnacentral:lncRNA from 1 species